GCUUGCUUGGACCAGUAUAAGCAAGCCAGGGCAAACAUUUAGGCUACAUUGUGGGAGCUAUGAACAUAAAGUACACUGAUUUCUUUAUUACGGCUAGCAGAUAUUUAAGAAUGUUAGCACGGGUCUUUGAAUAAAUUUUGCUUCUAAGAGAAGUUACUAUUUAUUCCUAAUUAGAUGGGGAGGAAAGUCUUUGAAGAGGAACCUCUACUUUACUUUUUACAAUAGGUUGAACUUUGGGAUGUCUGACCAAAUGUUUUCCGUCUCACCACUCAGAGUGGCCACAUGCCAGUUGCAAAGAAUAAGAUUAUAUUCAUGAGCAAGUCAGAAUCUGUCCUGUGAUAAAUGCCUGGGGGAUGAAGGUCAGCAUCUGCUCUGUCAUUUGAAUUUGAUAUUAGAAAAUUUAAAUCUGAAAAGAGAAUCUCGAAGUGGGUAUCAGAAGAAGAGAAGAUGUGAGGGACAAAAGGAUAGGAUCUACAGUGCUGUUACAUCCUCACUGGCAUCAACAAUUUAGACUCAUCUCUAUAUCCAUGUGUAACUUGUUACAGUCUGCAGUCAUAAGCUGGCCUCAACACACUGAAGUAUAUUCAGCAUUAUAAACACACUGAAACACCAAAAAGGCUGAGAUGCACAUAAUUUGAAGAGUGAAAAUGGCUCGAGAGCAUGAAGUCUCAUUAUCUGUAGGUUCUCACCUCACUGAAGCAAGACUGGUAAAUAAGUUUUGAAGAUGAAGAUAAAACAGAAUAAAUUAAGGAAGAAAAAAAAGAAGAGGAAAAUCUCCCAAACUGGCCUGUCUUCAAUGUUCCUUUGAACUGUCUCUCCUACUGCACUCUUUACAUUUUAAUGACUUGAGUGUUUACCAUUUAUGCAGGAACAUACCCUUAAUGUGCUCAGAAGUGAUGCGUACCUUCUAUACAUGAGACAGACCACCCAGCAAAAUACCAAUCCAGCUUAGGGUCUGUGAAGUAUUAUCCAUUUGUCUAAAAUGUACUGUACUAAACCUUAUAAUACUUUGUUAGCUGGUUAUGUCAAAUUCUCAUUGUAAUAUAAAGAUUUAAGUAAAAUAUGAACAAAUUGACAAUAUCCAAUACCAAAAGGCCAUAAAAACCUUUUUCAGAAAUAUAACAGACUUACAGCCUUGCGUAGGUCAGCAAAAAUGGUAUGUACCAGAGCAUAGUUAUGAAAAUUUAAAGAAGUGUAUAUUUCUUCAUUUAUUCUGUACCCGUUCAACAUUGUGACAAGCAUAACAGAUUUACAAUUCUUACAUACUUUUUGCUAUAUUUCCCCUCUCAAUAUGAUGUCAUUCCAUUUUUUUUUACAAUUUUUACAAAUGAAGACAGAGGCAGCUUAUUAAGACCAACUACUCCCAGGUUUAUUUGUGAAGAAAGUAAGA
rnacentral:lncRNA from 1 species